AUUGAACGCUGGCGGCAGGCCUAACACAUGCAAGUCGAGCGGAUGAAGGGGGCUUGCUCCUGGAUUCAGCGGCGGACGGGUGAGUAAUGCCUAGGAAUCUGCCUGUUAGUGGGGGAUAACGUCCGGAAACGGGCGCUAAUACCGCAUACGUCCUGAGGGAGAAAGUGGGGGAUCUUCGGACCUCACGCUAUCAGAUGAGCCUAGGUCGGAUUAGCUAGUUGGUGGGGUAAAGGCCUACCAAGGCGACGAUCCGUAACUGGUCUGAGAGGAUGAUCAGUCACACUGGAACUGAGACACGGUCCAGACUCCUACGGGAGGCAGCAGUGGGGAAUAUUGGACAAUGGGCGAAAGCCUGAUCCAGCCAUGCCGCGUGUGUGAAGAAGGUCUUCGGAUUGUAAAGCACUUUAAGUUGGGAGGAAGGGCAGUAAGUUAAUACCUUGCUGUUUUGACGUUACCAACAGAAUAAGCACCGGCUAACUUCGUG
rnacentral:rRNA from 1 species